rnacentral:rRNA from 1 species
AAGGAUCAUUAUUGAAUUGUUUAAAAAUGGGGCAAGACGCUUUCGAGCUCUUCCUCUACAUUCUUUAUUCCUUACACCUGUGAAUCGUUGCUGAGUUCGCUCAGUGGCACCUUUUUUACACACACUUUAUAGUUUAGAAAGUACAUAUACAAAAUAAAAUACAACUUUUGACAACGGAUCUCUUGGUUCUCCCAUCGAUGAAGAACGCAGCGAAAUGCGAUAAGUAAUGUGAAUUGCAGAAUUCAGUGAAUCAUCGAAUCUUUGAACGCACCUUGCGCUCCUUGGUAUUCCUUGGAGCAUGCCUGUUUGAGAGUCUUGAAUAUCUCUGCUUUCAUUUUUUUGUUUUACGAAAAGAUGACAAGUCAGGUCCUUGGGUCUGCUUGCGGUUUGUUACGAACACAAGCUUACCUUAAAUGAAUUAGCUGGACUUCAGCAGAGUUGUUAAGUAACAUUGAAAACUCUCGUAAGAUGAAGUCUGCUCUCUAAUCAUUCUUUUUCCUUUCGAGGAAUUCGAAUACUUUCUAUUUUGGCCUCAAAUCAGGUAGGACUACCCGCUGAACUUAA